rnacentral:lncRNA from 1 species
GGGGGCGCUCCGGCUCCGAGGCGGCUGCGAGCGCCAAGCGGGGUGGUGGUGGAUUUUUUUUUUUUUUUCUUCUCCUCUUUAUUUGUUUCCUCCUCUUUUUUUUUUUUUUUCCCUUUUCUUUUUUUUUUUCUCCUUUUUUUUUUUUUUUUUUUCCUCGCCUCUCUCCCGGCUGAGUGCAGCCACACAUGACGCCAGCCCCCCAGCCCGCCACGCGCUACUUCCCGGCCGGCCCUCCGCCCCCCCCCACCCCCCCCGGCCCCGUUCCCUAGAAAUGCAGCCGAGGCGCGGGGAAGAGGGGACGCGGUUUUGGCGGGGGGGGAAGAGAUUCUUUUUGUUCUGUUGGGGGACAGCUUUGGUUUGUUGUUUUCCAGUUUCUUUUUUUCUUCCCCCCCCCCUCCCCCUUGCACACAAAAUAAGUGAAGAAGAUGUGGCAAGGUGUGGCCGCGCCGUCGGGGCCGAGGAAUCUCUGGCACCGCAGGAGCAGCAGCCCACACCAGGUAGUCGAGCUUCCUAAUUUGUAGAAGAGAGUUGCAAAACUCGUUCCUGUGAAAAUCAGAGUCCCCACUUAAAAGAUGUAAGAAGCCAGAAAAAGACACGAAUUAGCAGAGUGACAUGUAGGCUUUAAAAACCUCUGCCCGCUGUUGGUCCUUAGACUCGCCCUCAACAGAGCAGCGCUCUUCAUUCACCCACCUUACCCUUACAGGAACAUCUGCUGGGAAAAUACGAUGCAGCACAGAUUUUCAUCCCUGCCCAUAGACACCUGGCCCUGGAGUAGGCCCUCAGCUGAUUCCCCUGCUGCCUUGCUCCUCCCACCUCGUUUCCUUCAGGGCACAAGAUGAGCUCUCCUGGUGAACUCAGGAGGCAAACUGAGGAGUGAGGGUAGAAGGCAGAGGGAUGACCUGAGCUUGGCUGACUGGUCUAGAAGAUGUGAUCGCUGGCUGUGUUGGCCACUAUCUGCCGGCAUGGGGACGUUCAUGAGGGUUACUACGGAGCAGAGGAAGCAGAUGUCAGGGCUUGGCAACGUGUUCUGAUCUGCAAAAGACCACAGUUUAACCCCCCUGAAUCGUGUAACACCACUGAAUACUACAGUAGAAACCCACAGGUGGACUUGUGAACUCGUUCAUAUCGCAGACAUCACACCGAGCUGUUGCUUCUUGAUUUAAAUGCCUUUAUUUCGUGGCUUGCCCUUCCCUGCUGCCUAAUUUGGGAGCCCAACCUCAGUCAGGUCAACUUCCUGAAGACAGGAUGUCCCUAUUAACUCUCACCAGGAAAAAGAGAGAAAGGAACAUCCCCGGUGUGUCUUGCAUACCAUAGCACCAGUACUAACAGAGCUGUUUUACCAGGAACGUGGAGCAGCCUCUGCUUCGGACAGGAGGACGUCCGUCCCAGGAGAAAGAGCAUCAGUUCUCAGUUGGGCCACCUUCCAUGCGAUGGAGCAACGUAGCUAAGCUGUAGGUUGCCUUAUGCUUGCAACACUGCAACCCCGAGGAAGUCUGCAUCUGCAGAGAUCUGCCUUCAUGCCUGGACUGAUAAGCGACGCUGGGGAAGCGUCUUGGCCAGAUGCUGCUGCAGUAUCCCGCCUCCUCAUCGCAUCGCCCUCUGGAAGACAGAAGUGACGAUCAGCAGCGUGGUGUUGUCCUGCAGGCAGCUGAAGAACCACUUUGACAGCAAGCAGGAGAACAACUAUGCAGUGUAAUCACAGCCUGUCUGUGCUCUUUCUAACAGUGUACAUGAGCACCCUAUUCCCAGCGAGGGGAUGCUGUAACCUCCCCCUGCUGACCUGUAUUCUUCUCCGUUACUGUAACCAAGCUGUUUCUUUCCCACGGCCACGCGUUCCUGCAGAUAUACCAAGGGUUCCCAUGCAGAUAGGUUUACAAAUUCAGGAAGGGCUUGGACAGAGCAAAAGGAGAAUGAAGUAAUUCCCAAAUAUUUGCACUGUGGCUGAUGAAAUUAGCAGGAGAGCUGAGUGGGUGUAUAGGGGUCUGCUGGGGGACGGAUGGAAGGAAACCUGGGGACAAACUGUCUGCUGUUCGACGUGCUCUGAGUGCUGUGUGAUAAAGGUGAAUCACCCAGCUUAGCUGCAGGUGAGCCAGCAGGACAGUGGCUGGGGCCGAGUCCCACUGCAGCCUGUGUGGGGGCUGUGUGCUGGGUCCGGUGGGCUUUGAAUCCCACCACAAAGACAGUGGCUGUCGACAAGGUCACGAACGCAGAGCUUCGCCUUCUGUUGAUUAUGUGGUUGUCAGUGGAAGAAUUACUGUGUAUCUAUGGGAAAUGUUAAAAAACAACAACGCCUUUUUUUCUUGAAUAAAUCUGUGAAACGAACCAAC